rnacentral:rRNA from 1 species
GACGAACGCUGGCGGCGUGCUUAACACAUGCAAGUCGAACGGAAAGGCCCUGCUUUUGUGGGGUGCUCGAGUGGCGAACGGGUGAGUAACACGUGAGUAACCUGCCCUUGACUUUGGGAUAACUUCAGGAAACUGGGGCUAAUACCGGAUAGGAGCUCCUGCUGCAUGGUGGGGGUUGGAAAGUUUCGGCGGUUGGGGAUGGACUCGCGGCUUAUCAGCUUGUUGGUGGGGUAGUGGCUUACCAAGGCCUUGACGGGUAGCCGGCCUGAGAGGGUGACCGGCCACAUUGGGACUGAGAAACGGCCCGGACUGCUACGGGGGGCAGCGGUGGGGAAUAUUGCACAAUGGGCGGAAGCCUGAUGCAGCAACGCCGGGUGGGGGAUGACGGCCUUCGGGGUGUAAACCGCUUUCGCCUGUGACGAAGCGUGAGUGACGGUAAUGGGUAAAGAAGCACCGGCUAACUACGUG